GACGAACGCUGGCGGCGUGCCUAACACAUGCAAGUCGAACGGAGAUAUGAUUUCGGUUGUAUCUUAGUGGCGAACGGGUGAGUAACGCGUGAGCAACCUGACUCUUAGAGGGGGAUAACACUCGGAAACGGGUGCUAAUACCGCAUAAGACCACGACAUGGCAUCAUGACGAGGUCAAAGGAGCAAUCCGCUGAGAGAGGGGCUCGCGUCCCAUUAGAUAGAUGGCGGGGUAACGGCCCACCAUGUCGACGAUGGGUAGCCGAGCUGAGAGGCUGCUCGGCCACACUGGAACUGAGACACGGUCCAUACUCCUACGGGAGGCAGCAGUGGGGAAUAUUGGGCAAUGGGCGCAAGCCUGACCCAGCAACGCCGCGUGAGGGAAGAAGGCUUUCGGGUUGUAAACCUCUGUCCUUGGUGACGAAAAAAAUGACGGUAGCCAAGGAGGAAGCCCCGGCUAACUACGUGCCAGCAGCCGCCGUAAGAC
rnacentral:rRNA from 1 species